rnacentral:sRNA from 1 species
AGCUUUUCAUAGUGGUAGUGUCAUAAUCAAUGAGGUUUAUCUGAGAUGUAAUUAUUGCUAAUUGAAAAAAAAUUAACAAAACAUG